GCGGGUGUAGCUCAGUUGUUUAGAGUGCAUCCUUGCCAAGGAUGAGGCCAGGGGUUAGAGUCCCCUCACCCGCACCA
rnacentral:tRNA from 1 species